rnacentral:piRNA from 5 species
UUCUCACUACUGCACUUGACUAGUCUU